rnacentral:rRNA from 1 species
CAGUCGCCGCGGGAAUACGUAGGUGGCAAGCGUUGUCCGGAAUUAUUGGGCGUAAAGGGCUCGCAGGCGGUUUCUUAAGUCAGAUGUGAAAGCCCCCGGCUCAACCGGGGAGGGUCAUUGGAAACUGGGAAACUUGAGUGCAGAAGAGGAGAGUGGAAUUCCGAGUGUAGAGGUGAAAUUCGUAGAUAUUCGGAAGAACACCAGAGGCGAAGGCGGCUCACUGGCUCAUACUGGACGCUGAGGUGCGAAAGCGUGGGGAGCAAACAGGAUUAGAUACCCCCGUAGUCCCUGUCUCUUAUAC